UGAGGGAGUAAGAUCAUUACAAAGCAGCCUGCUGCCGGACCAACACAGGACCCUAGAGAUAAUACAGUCAAUGUGUAUAAACUGGAUAUUGUAUUUGAAUUGCCCAUUUAUAUCAAUGACACGAACAACAACAACAAAUGGUUGGAUUGUUUAGCAACGGGGCAGUACAUGAUAACACGGCUUUGGUAGUGAAACCUACAUGAUGUAAUUAUUGUCAUCUCCCUAUCAGGCCACUGCAUGCUGUGAAAAGGGCCUGGAUGGGAACACACAUCUUGUUACUGACUUUUAAACACUUGUCAAACUACAUUCCACUGCUUGUUUACUGAUUCAUUGGUGACUGAAGAAGUUGGCAAGAAACGUGCCCCUCUCAAUUUCACUGCCAAUACUGUAGAUGACCUAGCUAAACGUAAACUGCUGACAUCUUGAUCAAGCAACUAUUUACCACAUGAUGGCCCAUUAAAGGUUGAAGCACAUCCCCCAACAUCCAGACUGAUCUAAAGAACUUGGGAACCUCCCAGCAGCCACCAAGAAAAUCAUCUUGGUACUUGGAGUUUAUUCACAAGGUUUGUCAGAUGAUUUCCAGGAGCCUGGUGGAGAUGGAUACAACCGUAAUCCAAGACAGGACAUUUCCCAGCAUCCAGGUUGAGGCCUGCUACCAGCAGAAACAUGGAAUACUCCCUUGUCACUAAGCCAGGGCGGCAGGGUAGCCUAGUGGUUAGAGCAUUGGACUAGUAACUGGAAGGUUGCAAGUUCGAACCCCUGAGCUGACAAGGUUGAGUCUGCUGGGCCAUGGGAACUCUAGAGCAGGGCAUCAAACAAACCUACCACCACGGUGUCAGCUAUCAGACUGUUUCCUGAGGAAGGAGGCAAAUAGCAAUGCUUUAAGUUAUC